UGCCAGCAGCCGCGGUAAAACGUAGGACGCAAGCGUUAUCCGGAUUUACUGGGCGUAAAGCGCAGGCAGGCGGACAUACAAGUUGGAUGUGAAAGCUCCCGGCUCAACCGGGAGAGGCCAUUCAAGACUGUAUGACUGGAGGACAGCAGAGGAGCAUGGAAUUCCGGGUGGAGUGGUGAAAUGCGUAGAUAUCCGGAGGAACACCAGAGGCGAAGGCAGCACUCUGGGCCGGUACUGACGCUGAGGAGCGAAAGCAUGGGGAGCGAACAGGAUUAGAUA
rnacentral:rRNA from 1 species